UGCUUCUCUUCACGUUUCCUUCAGAGACCAUAAACCAAGAGAAGUCUCUCAAAAGAGAGCUUAUUUGCCUCUUGCUACUUCAGAAGACGAUCCAGAAACACUAAGUCAACCCGAAGAUACACCUCGAGAUGAUAGUUCAUCUAUCCAACACAAUGGAAACGGUGGCAAACCGGGUUUCAUUUCGUUUUACAACCCUCGGAACAAGGCAGAGGGUCUCCUUCUCCCUCCUGAAGAAGCACAGAGCACAUGGGGACGCCUCCUCUGGCUCAUUGGUCCUACUGUCUUAGUCUCCUCCUUCACUCUACCUCCCAUUUACUUGCGAAGAAUCGUCUCAGCUGUUUUUGAAGACUCUUUACUCACAGGUUACCUCUCUUUCCAUCCCUCUCCCUUUACUUCUCAACUUGACACAACUUUCUAUUUGCAGACUUCCUCAUAUUGUUCUUCACUGAGGCUCUCUUCUACUGUGGAGUCGCCGCUUUUCUUCUGAUAACACACCGUUCGAAAACGUCAUCCACCAGAACCAACCCUUCUCAGUUAGGACAAAGGAUCUCCUCCGUAGCAACGUUAGUGCUUAGUCUUAUGAUCCCAAUGGUGACAAUGGGAUUUGUAUGGCCAUGGACCGGUCCUGCAGCAUCAGCUACUCUUGCACCCUACCUCGUAGGCAUUGUCGUUCAGUUUGCUUUCGAACAGUACGCUAGAUACAGGAAGUCUCCAUCAUCUCUCACCAUCCCCAUCAUCUUUCAGGUAUGCAGCAAUGCAAUCUUCUUGCCAUAACAAAAUUUUCACUUUUGUAACGUUUUUUGAAAGGAUAUGUGUUUGGUUCUUUAGGUGUAUAGACUUCAUCAGCUGAAUAGAGCGGCACAGUUAGUGACAGCGUUGUUGUUCACGGUGAAAGGAGCAGAGGCAACGGUUAAUAAUCUGGAAAUCAAGAAAUCACUGGGUAUGCUUUUGAGUGUGAUACAGGUUUUGGGUAUGAUUUCAAUAUGGUCCAUCUCAAGCUUCCUCAUGUGGUUAUCACCACCACCACCUUCCCAAAACCAGUCUUGAAGAAUAAUUGUUAUGUUUUCAGUUUCUAAAGUGUAUAAUAACUUCACCUUUUGAUAGGUUUAUUUACAUUUGAAAGAUAAAUGGUUAUGGUUCUAGAGGUGUUUAUAUCAAACAUGUUUUCUUGGAAUGUUGAGUGAAUUUUUUUAAAACUGCAACAUGUUUUUCUAUUUAUAGUAAAUGAAUUUUCUUCCUAAAAAUAGGAAUGGUCUAUUUAUGGUAACUCCAGCCUCCUUAUCUGAAAGAAAGUCCAUACUGUUAUGUUCAAAUUGCUUUAGUAUCAGGUUUUGGUCGGAUAAACUUGAUCCAAUCAGUCUAACGUUUCCUUCAGAGACCAUAAACCAAGAGAAGUCUCUCAAAAGAGAGCUUAUUUGCCUCUUGCUACUUCAGAAGACGAUCCAGAAACACUAAGUCAACCCGAAGAUACACCUCGAGAUGAUAGUUCAUCUAUCCAACACAAUGGAAACGGUGGCAAACCGGGUUUCAUUUCGUUUUACAACCCUCGGAACAAGGCAGAGGGUCUCCUUCUCCCUCCUGAAGAAGCACAGAGCACAUGGGGACGCCUCCUC
rnacentral:lncRNA from 1 species